rnacentral:rRNA from 1 species
CCCUUAGAUGUUCUGGGCUGCACGCGCGCUACACUGAAGCGUUCAACGAGUAUUUCACCUUGCCCGGGAGGGUUGGGUAAUCUUUUUAAAACGCUUCGUGAUGGGGAUAGAUUAUUGCAAUUAUUAAUCUUCAACGAGGAAUUCCUAGUAAGCGCGAGUCAUCAGCUCGUGCUGAUUACGUCCCUGCCCUUUGUACACACCGCCCGUCGCUCCUACCGAUUGAGUGACCCGGUGAAUAAUUCGGACUGCAGCAGUGCUUGGUCCUCCGGGCUUUGCAGCGGAAAGUUUAGUGAACCUUAUCACUUAGAGGAAGGAGAAGUCGUAACA